rnacentral:rRNA from 1 species
AAUCAACGCUGGCGGCGUGCCUAACACAUGCAAGUCGAGCGCGAAAGCGGGGCAACUCGCAAGUAGAGCGGCGAACGGGUGAGUAACACGUGGGUGAUCUGCCUCCGAGUGGGGAACAACAGCGGGAACUGCUGCUAAUACCGCAUGACAUCAUCGAGUCACAUCGAUGAUCAAAGCCGGGACCGCAAGGCCUGGCGCUUGGAGAGGAGCCCCGCGUCCGAUUAGCUAGUUGGCGGGGUAAUGGCCCACCAAGGCUUCGAUCGGUAGCCGGCCUGAGAGGGCGGACGGCCACACUGGGACUGAGACACGGCCCAGACUCCUAC